rnacentral:rRNA from 1 species
AUUGAACGCUGGCGGCAGGCUUAACACAUGCAAGUCGAGCGGUAGCACAAGAGAGCUUGCUCUCUGGGUGACGAGCGGCGGACGGGUGAGUAAUGUCUGGGAAACUGCCUGAUGGAGGGGGAUAACUACUGGAAACGGUAGCUAAUACCGCAUAACGUCGCAAGACCAAAGAGGGGGACCUUCGGGCCUCUUGCCAUCAGAUGUGCCCAGAUGGGAUUAGCUAGUAGGUGGGGUAAUGGCUCACCUAGGCGACGAUCCCUAGCUGGUCUGAGAGGAUGACCAGCCACACUGGAACUGAGACACGGUCCAGACUCCUACGGGAGGUAGCAGUGGGGAAUAUUGCACAAUGGGCGCGAGCCUGAUGCAGCCAUGCCGCGUGUGUGAAGAAGGCCUUCGGGUUGUAAAGCACUUUCAGCGAGGAGGAAGGUGGUGAACUUAAUACGUUCAUCAAUUGACGUUACUCGCAGAAGAAGCACCGGCUAACUCCGUG